rnacentral:rRNA from 1 species
CACGGAGUUAGCCGGGGCUUCUUCUGCUGGUACCGUCAUUAUCUUCCCAGCUGAAAGAUCUUUACAACCCUAAGGCCUUCAUCAAUCACGCGGCAUGGCUAGAUCAGGCUUGCGCCCAUUGUCUAAGAUUCCCCACUGCUGCCUCCCGUAGGAGUCUGGGCCGUGUCUCAGUCCCAGUGUGGCUGAUCAUCCUCUCAAACCAGCUAUGGAUCGUCGGCUUGGUAGGCCAUUACCCCACCAACUACCUAAUCCAACGCGGGCCAAUCCUUUGGCGAUAAAUCUUUCCCCCGAAGGGCACAUACGGUAUUACUCCCAGUUUCCCGAGGCUAUUCCGUACCAAAGGGUAUGUUCCCACGCGUUACUCACCCGUCCGCCGCUAGAUCCGAAGAUCUCGCUCGACUUGCAUGUGUUAGGCCUGCCGCCAGCGUUCGUUCUGAGCCAGGAUCAAACUCU